UACGAAGGGGGCUAGCGUUGCUCGGAAUUACUGGGCGUAAAGGGCGCGUAGGCGGCUCUGUUAGUCAGGCGUGAAAGCCCUGGGCUCAACCUGGGGACUGCGCUUGAUACGGCGGGGCUUGAGGGCAGGAGAGGCUCGCGGAAUUCCCAGUGUAGAGGUGAAAUUCGUAGAUAUUGGGAAGAACACCGGUGGCGAAGGCGGCGAGCUGGCCUGUUACUGACGCUGAGGCGCGACAGCGUGGGGAGCAAACAGGG
rnacentral:rRNA from 1 species